AUGCUGGGUUAUAUCACCCUACUUCUCGCCAUCCAGCUCCCUGCUGGUCAGGCAGCGGUCUCCGUGGAGCAGCCGAUGGUCUCCAUCACCAAACGGACUGGGAAAAUAGCAACAUUUCCCUGUGAGUUUCCCGGCCAAAGCAACAUGUACAUCCACUGGUAUCGCCAGCAGCCCGGCAAAGCUCCCCAGCGCCUGCUUUACUUCAACCUGGCCACAUCUCAACCCAAGCUGGAUGCGGGAUUCAGCUCAGACAAAUUCUAUGCUUACAAGACCAAAGAUCAAAGCUGCACUCUGAGUGUAAGGAAACUGGAAAUGAGUGAUGCGGGCACCUAUUACUGUGCCAGCUGGGACUCCACAGUGACACAGGUCCCUCAACCGUCCUUUCAAAAAUAUCACUGCCUGUAG